rnacentral:hammerhead_ribozyme from 1 species
AUCCAGCUGAUGAGUCCCAAAUAGGACGAAACACGCGUCCUCGAU